rnacentral:rRNA from 1 species
CUCGUAGGUGGUUUGUCGCGUUGUUCGUGAAAACCUAAGGCUUAACCUUGGGCGUGCGGGCGAUACGGGCAGACUGGAGUACUGCAGGGGAGACUGGAAUUCCAGGUGUAGCGGUGGAAUGCGCAGAUAUCAGGAGGAACACCGGUGGCGAAGGCGGGUCUCUGGGCAGUAACUGACGCUGAGGAGCGAAAGCGUGGGGAGCGAACA